CAUAGCUUAUUCUCACGACUUGAAUGAGCAAUCAUCAGCAUGGUUUGGAGUCUCAAAACUUAUUACAUGUCCUUUGGAAUUGGAUGUACCUGUGUUGGAGCCGCUGUUGUGGAUUAAUUUUUACCCGGCAUGUUGUUUUGGAUUUCAGAAAUCAGAGUAAUUUUUAUCUGUCUUAGCAUUAGCACCUUCAGUGGGCUCAUAUAAAUAUAUCACACAGGCAAAACAGGAAUAUUAUGGAAUAAACUAAGCUAAAACCAAAGCCAACUAGAAGCAAUAUUCAUACAGGCAAUAUAUCAAAUACCUGAAGAGCAAAAAGAAAGCACACCAAAUUUACAUGGAAAACCCUCCAGUGUAGAGGGUAAAAAACUAUGGGGCAAAUCCAAUCAAUCCACUAUAAUAAAUAUAAAGUUUACAAUUCUCAAGUUUAUACCCAAAACUUGAGUUCAUAAUAAAUUAGAAAAACUGCAAUAUCAUUUUUGUAAGAGUAACAAUGAUCUCAUCGAAACCACCACAAUGUGAUGAACCCAAAAAUGUAAUGAGAUUCCUAACAAUGAAUACUACAACUUCCUAUAGCAUCAAAUACAACUCUUAGAUAGAAACCCAAUUUGUUAAAUCACUGUGUGAAAAACCACACCCAAAAAAGGUAAAGAAAGAAAAAACAUGUUUUGAGUUCCUUUCUCCUUCUCCGUUCGGCGUGCAAAUCUCAUUCACUGCUGCUGCAAGUUGCCCUCUGUCCUUUUGUCACAGCACUCCUUGGCUCCCUUUCUUUUUCUUU
rnacentral:lncRNA from 1 species